rnacentral:rRNA from 1 species
GACGAACGCUGGCGGCGUGCCUAAUACAUGCAAGUUGAGCGCUGAAGGUUGGUACUUGUACCAACUGGAUGAGCAGCGAACGGGUGAGUAACGCGUGGGGAAUCUGCCUUUGAGCGGGGGACAACAUUUGGAAACGAAUGCUAAUACCGCAUAAAAACUUUAAACACAAGUUUUAAGUUUGAAAGAUGCAAUUGCAUCACUCAAAGAUGAUCCCGCGUUGUAUUAGCUAGUUGGUGAGGUAAAGGCUCACCAAGGCGAUGAUACAUAGCCGACCUGAGAGGGUGAUCGGCCACAUUGGGACUGAGACACGGCCCAAACUCCUACGGGAGGCAGCAGUAGGGAAUCUUCGGCAAUGGACGAAAGUCUGGCCGAGCAACGCCGCGGGAGUGAAGAAGGUUGUCGGAUCGUAAAACUCUGUUGGUAGAGAAGAACGUUGGUGAGAGUGGAAAGCUCAUCAAGUGACGGUAACUACCCAGAAAGGGACGGCUAACUACGUG